rnacentral:lncRNA from 1 species
CAUUAGUUUAGGUGAAGAUUCUUCAACAUUUUUCUUCCUUUUGUGUUUAUCUUUAGCUCUUCGAUCUUCUUUCUACAUCACUGUUGACACUUUGAGUUAUCAUUUUUUUCAACAAUGUUUAGAGAAUGUCGCUUAAUCAAAGAUUUAAUGGUGGGAGUCUUCAAUGUAAGCAUGAGCUGAAAGCACGAUGGAGAUCAGUAGAGGCUUUCAGAUAGUAAUUUGGAUGAACAAUGAAGGCACAAUUGGGUUGUAGAAGAAAGGGAUUCUAG